rnacentral:lncRNA from 10 species
CUGUGGGUCAGGAAUCCAAGAGUGGCUUACAUGGACGGUUCUGAAGUCAUCUGAAGGCUUGACUGGACUGGAAGAUUCACUUCCAAGGUGGUACACUCCAAACCUGGACCGUUGGUGCUGGCUCUUGGCAAGGCCCUCAGUGGCUCACCAUGUGGACCUCUCCUCAGGGCUGCUUGAAUGCCCUAAUGUCCCCAGAAGCAAGUGAUCAAAAAGAACAACGCAGAAGCCACAAUGUUUUUUACGAUCUAGCACUGGAAGUAACACCCUGUCAAUCCCAUGAUGUCCUAUUGCUUACACAGAUGCUGUUGAUUUGGUUCGGUGUGCCAAGCAGGCUGCGGUGGAAACCACUGUGGGGAGUCUUGGUGGGCAAGGUAACGCUCUUUUGGCAU